rnacentral:rRNA from 1 species
UGGGGAAUAUUGCACAAUGGGGGAAACCCUGAUGCAGCGACGCCGCGUGAGCGAAGAAGGUUUUCGAAUCGUAAAGCUCUGUCCUAUGGGAAGAUAAUGACGGUACCAUAGGAGGAAGCCCCGGCUAACUACGUGCCAGCAGCCGCGGUAAUACGUAGGGGGCAAGCGUUGUCCGGAAUCACUGGGCGUAAAGGGUUCGCAGGCGGAAAUGCAAGUCAGUUGUGAAAGGCAGAGGCUCAACCUCUGUAAGCAAUUGAAACUGUAUUUCUUGAGAUGUGGAGAGGCAAGUGGAAUUCCUAGUGUAGCGGUGAAAUGCGUAGUUAUUAGGAAGAAUACCGGUGGCGAAGGCGACUUUCUGGACGUUUCCUGCCGCUCAGGUACGAAAGCGUGGGGAGCAAACAGG